CAUUUUUUCUAGUUUUGAUUUUUACACGCGGAAGAUAUUUUACUCGAAUUUUAGUCCUUUUACGAAAGAUUAACCGUCUUUUCUUUUGUUUUUGUGUAUUUUAUUAUCUAAGCGAGGUAUUGUGGGAUGGUUAUUUUAAAGAUGGCGGGCGUUUUGGAAUUUAUUCGUGGAGUGCAUGAGAAAUGUUCAAUAUACAGCUACAUGGAUUACACAAACAGAGAAAGAUAGAUUAUACCAGUUAAAUUGAGAGGUUUUAUUUGAAAAUCCUAUAUUUGAGCACCAUUCGUGGCAGUCAUGUCGAGGAAGUUAUAAAAAGGUUGAUAAGGGCUUUGUAUAUGGAAGCUAGAUGACAUUACUACUUAUCAUACACAACUAUUUGUCACAUACCGACUUGGGAUUGAAACCAAGCGACUGAACUCAAUAACACUCCUCAAUAACACUCGUCUAUGAAACCACCCAGAUGGCAAAGAAAUAAAGACUUUUUAAUUAUGUACCGAACUCAUAUAUACUAUUCAAAAAAAGUAGGGGAUAUUUGAUUUUUAAGUGUUAUUAAAGUCACCUAAUGAAACUGACGAAGAAACAAAUGACAAAAUGAAAUGAAGUUCACAUUCAUCGAUUUAUUCCAAAUGAUCAUUAGACUAAGUAAGGCACAGACUGACCAUUAUAAGGGUAAAAUGAUACCCGGGGUCAAACAGCAAAGUUACCACAGCAUCACAACCAAGUCAGUAACGGGUAAAUCCUCCUCUGUUUGCCAAACAAGCAUUGAUCCGACGUGGCAUACUCCUAAUGAGACGUCUAAGGUCAUUUUGGUCCAGAUUGUCCCAUUCCUGUUGCAACGCAGCAGCAAGUUCUUGGACAUUGGCAGGACGUUGUUGACGUUGACGUAACCUCUGUCCAAGCAUGUCCCAGACAUGCUCGAUGGGGGAGAGGUCGGGACUCAGUGCUGGCCAAGGUAAUGUGGUGAUGUUCUGUUGUUGGAGGUAACCUGUAACGAUCCUGGCCCUGUGACAUCUUGCGUUGUCAUCCUGGAAGAUGAAACGGCGGCCAUGACGUCGUGCGAACGGCACAACAUGGACUGCCAAGAUGUUGUACCGGUAGUACUGGCCUGUAACACGCCCUGCAACAACAUGUAAAGCCGUUCUUCCAGCAACAGUGAUGCCUCCCCACACCAUAACAGAACCACCCCCAAAUCGAUCAUGUCUGAUGACGUUAACGUCUUGGAAGCGCUCGUUUCGACGACGCCACACCCUCCUACGUCUGUCCAAAAAAUCAACAGUGAACCUUGACUCAUCUGAAAACAUCACAUUGCUCCAGCGUCGAUUAUCCCAGUGUUGACGAUACCUACACCAACGACGUCUUGCCUGAAUGUGAUGAUCUCUCAAACAAGGGAUCACGCGAGGACGUCGGGCGCGAAGGUGACCCCUAUGCAGUCGAUUCCGAAUCGUCUGGCCACUCACUCUCACACCAGUGUCUGUUUGAAGACGAGCGCUGAUCUGAUUUGCUGUGAUGACACGAUUUCCCAAGGCCAAGGUACGGAUAAAUCGAUCCUGGGCUUGAGUUGUCGCCCUUGGUCGACCUGAGCGUGGUCUGUCCUGUACAGAUUGUGUAUCACGGUAUCUGGACCAUAGCCUGCUUAUGACAGACUGAGAAACAUUCAUCGUCCGCGCCACAACCGCCUGUGUUGUGCCGAUCUGUAGCAUGCCAAGGGCACGUAACCUUUCAUUUUGGGUAAGCCGACGCAUAUCAAAAUUUGUUUUCUGGUCACUAAAACAAUUAAACUGAUGUUUCCACCCUGGAAUUCAAUGCCACAAUGACUGUAACAUUCAAAGUCAGAGUCGUGCAAAUCUUGGGUUGGACCCCCAUGAUGAUCCCAAGCAUCACCUGCAUUCCAUGCGGUAGCUAUUGGUGCGUUUGGGCGUCACAUGUAACUAGAAAUGUUUCUUCUGUUAGGUUCUAUAGUGACUUUUUUCGUAGCCAUUUGCAUAUUUUAGUAUUAUGCCCCCAAAAUCAAAUAUCCCCUACUUUUUUUGAAUAGUAUGUAUCUAUGGUAGCACAAAAUUAACCAGAAUGUAGGCCAAAGCUUUACUUUACAAGCAGUAGGCCUAAAAUAUUUUCCGUCUGAUCUUGUAAGAGUCAAUUGUUUAUGAAUAGUUUGCCUCAAGCAGAUAUCCUGUCACUGUGUCACAGUAUCAUAUAACAGCUCUUUGGCUUGAACUGAGUUGUAUCAGUGAGUUGAAAAUCUACUGCAGCCAGUAUACUAUGGCGGUAUAUUAGAUUCAAAAUUCUAACGAGCUUUCGUCUAACUUCUAACUUCUGUUCAUGUAAUUUUUGACUUCUAUUCAUGUAAUUUCUAACUUCUAUUCAUGUAUUUUUUUUAAAUUAAGACAAUGUAUAAUCCAACUUCUUUAUUUGUUCAGUGCAAAUUUUAAUUUUAUUCCAUCUUAUUUCUAUUAUUUAGACGAAAAACGUCUUCUUAAUUUUUACACUUCUGCCUAGCAACCAUCAUUAUGAAGUCAUUUGGUGUCGCCACUGCGUGCUCAUUUUUGGUGAUUGCGCACCUGGUCGGGACCAUUGUGUUGAUAUAAACGACACAUUCUUGAUAAAGACGAGAGUAUCCUUGUCGAAACGUUGCUUUAUAUUAAACUCAGUAAGAGUUAUCUAUAAAAUUGUACCCUGUGUUAAUGUAGACCAACAGUAUAUAAAUAUUAAUUGGCUCAAUUGUAAAAAAAAAUCAAAUAAAAUUCUCCAAAUCCUGCACUUGUCUUAAAAAAAAUGAACAAAUGCUGUUUAGCUUGUAUUUGAAAUAGAAAAUUAAAUAUAAUGGGGUUUAACAUCCUACUAUUCUACUCCGAACUUGGCUAAUACGCCAUAGAGUGUGCUACGAAGGAAACUUUGCCCGGACAGCGGCACUACGGAACGAUUAGACAGCUGUACUUGUUAGGCCCUCCAUCCUGCAUCACUGACAAGGAGGAACCACGCCGGAAAAUCUGGAUGAACUUUCUCGACCAAUGCAGGGAUCGAACACCCUACCGCUAGGCUAGUGAGCCAGCGUCUUACCGACCGUAUUUGAAAUCGUAUUUGCAAACCAUACAUAGAUAUCACGUUCAAUGUUGUUUGUGGGGUUGGAUGGCCGAAAGGUUAGCACGUGCGCGCUGUACCAUAAGGUAUGUCAUUGAGUCAACUGGUGUGGUUUCGAUUCCCCGGUUGUACGUGACAAGGAAUAGGGUCGCUUGUCCAACCUCGUGGGUUUUCUCCGGGUCCUCCGGUUUCCUCCCAUUGCUAAACACCCCUACGCGCAAGCGAAUUAUUGAAAUAAAAUUGAACCAUGUUAAUACCGAACCUACAUGUAGUUUGUGUUGAGUGGACGUUAAACCCCAUCAGACUCUCUCUCUCUCGCUCUCUCUCUCGAAGUUGUUUUCAAUUUUAGCACUCCACCAAACCAUUCAACCGGACUAAGAGCGAGUCGUUUGUAUCAACAGAAUGGUCCCGAUCAGGUGCUCAAUCGCCAAAUUGAGCGAACGGUGGCGACACCAAACGACGUCAUAAUGAUGGUUGCUAGGUAGAAAGCAAAAUAUUAAUAAGAUGAAACAAUUAAAAUUUACACUGUGAAUCCAAAUAUAAAGAGAGAGAGGAAUCCAAAACCAUUUGAAUAACAUAAACUUAGAUGGGAUCGAAGUCAUAAUAAACUUGAUACGGUGACCAACUUUCUGACAGUAUGAUACUAUAAAUAGCCCUUGCACGUGCAAUUCUCUACAAAUCUAUCAACUAUUACAGCCGUAAAAAAUGUAUUGUUGACGAUUUUGAAUAGCAGUAAAAUUAAGCUUCUUGGUUAUUACAGCAGAUUUAGAAAUUACGUUCGUUUCAUUUUUUAAAUCGCUUUAUAUUAACUGUACCGUUAAGAGCGGCAUCUUUUGGUUUAGUACAAAUAAUAUCUCUGAAUCACUCGGGUUAGACAGGAACAUGAUACUAGCAGUAGUUUCAUUUUACUUUUACAAGCUUCUUAAAACGAUUGUUGAGCUACCUAAUGUGCUUUUUUUCUAAAUUCAAUUUCUUGUUCUAGCUUUCUGUUAUGUUUCGUAAAAAAAGUAGUCUUGAUUAUCCCGACCUGUCAAUCAGACGUAGAAUGGUCGAUAGACUGGUUAAGCGAGACUAAUUUCAAAACAAGGGCACGUAACCUAUCUUUUACUCAAAAGUGUCUGGAUGUUAUGGACGACUCUUCGAACCAGUUUUCAGUCUAUUAUUUAUACAUGAUUAAUUGUCAUAGCUUAUUAAGUACAACAUGAUCGUUUAUUUAGUGACUAUAAUUGUGUGAAACUGAUUUGGUGCUUGGCAUAUAUAUAAAUAUUGUGGCGUAAUUGUCGAUAUAUAUGGAGAUAUUUAUUUAUGGUGGAUCACCCUACUGCCAGUAGUAGGAGUGGUUAAAAACAGUCAUGGGUAUCACAAAACCAUCUUUUAUAGUAUCUAACGUUUCGUAAGUCUAAAAACCUACUUCUUCAGAGAAUACAAGCUACACAAAUAAUACAGUUGCAGUACAAGGUUAGUCAUGGUAACAAGUGAUGUCAUAAUGUUAAUAUGACGUCAUAGCUUUGAUGACAUAAUAUAAAGAAU